rnacentral:rRNA from 1 species
UACGUAGGCAGCAAGCGUUGUUCGGAAUUACUGGGCGUAAAGAGUGUGUAGGCGGUGCUCUAAGUUCGGUGUGAAAUCUCCCGGCUCAACUGGGAGGGUGCGCCGGAAACUGGAAUGCUUGAGCGUGGGAGAGGAAAGCGGAAUUCCUGGUGUAGCGGUGAAAUGCGCAGAUAUCAGGAAGAACACCCGUGGCGAAGGCGGCUCUCUGGUACGUGACUGACGCUGAGACGCGAAAGCGUGGGGAGCAAACAGG